rnacentral:rRNA from 1 species
CGGGUGAGUAACGCGUGAGGAACCUGCCUCAAAGAGGGGGACAACAGUUGGAAACGACUGCUAAUACCGCAUAAGCCCACGGCUCGGCAUCGAGCAGAGGGAAAAGGAGCAAUCCGCUUUGAGAUGGCCUCGCGUCCGAUUAGCUGGUUGGUGAGGUAACGGCCCACCAAGGCGACGAUCGGUAGCCGGGCUGAGAGGUUGAACGGCCACAUUGGGACUGAGACACGGCCCAG